UACGAAGGGUGCAAGCGUUAAUCGGAAUUACUGGGCGUAAAGCGCGCGUAGGUGGUUAGGUAAGUUGGAUGUGAAAGCCCUGGGCUCAACCUGGGAACUGCAUCCAAAACUGCUUGGCUAGAGUACGGUAGAGGGUAGUGGAAUUUCCUGUGUAGCGGUGAAAUGCGUAGAUAUAGGAAGGAACACCAGUGGCGAAGGCGACUACCUGGACUGAUACUGACGCUGAGGUGCGAAAGCGUGGGGAGCAAACAGG
rnacentral:rRNA from 1 species